rnacentral:rRNA from 2 species
UUAAGUUAGAAAGGGCGCACGGUGAAUGCCUUGGCACUAGGAGCCGAUGAAGGACGGGACUAACACCGAUAUGCUUCGGGGAGCUGUAAGUGAGCUUUGAUCCGGAGAUUUCCCAAUGGGGAAACCCACUGUUCGUAAUGGAACAGUAUCUUUAUCUGAAUACAUAGGAUAUUGAAGGCAGACCCGGGGAACUGAAACAUCUAAGUACCCGGAGGAAGAGAAAGCAAAUGCGAUUUCCUGAGUAGCGGCGAGCGAAACGGAAUUAGCCCAAACCAAGAGGCUUGCCUCUUGGGGUUGUAGGACACUCUAUACGGAGUUACAAAGGAACGAAGUAAAUGAAGCGACCUGGAAAGGUCCGUCGAAGAAGGUAACAACCCUGUAGUUGAAACUUCGUUCCCUCUUGAGUGGAUCCUGAGUACGGCGGAACACGUGAAAUUCCGUCGGAAGCUGGGAGGACCAUCUCCCAAGGCUAAAUACUACCUAGUGACCGAUAGUGAACCAGUACCGUGAGGGAAAGGUGAAAAGCACCCCGGAAGGGGAGUGAAAGAGAUCCUGAAACCGUGUGCCUACAAGUAGUCAGAGCCCGUUAACGGGUGAUGGCGUGCCUUUUGUAGAAUGAACCGGCGAGUUACGAUCCCAUGCAAGGUUAAGCUGAUAAGGCGGAGCCGUAGCGAAAGCGAGUCUGAAUAGGGCGUUUAGUAUGUGGUUGUAGACCCGAAACCAGGUGAUCUACCCAUGUCCAGGGUGAAGUUCAGGUAACACUGAAUGGAGGCCCGAACCCACGCACGUUGAAAAGUGCGGGGAUGAGGUGUGGGUAGCGGAGAAAUUCCAAUCGAACCUGGAGAUAGCUGGUUCUCUCCGAAAUAGCUUUAGGGCUAGCCUCAUGUUGUGAGAGUCUUGGAGGUAGAGCACUGAUUGGACUAGGGGCCCCCAACGGGUUACCGAAUUCAGUCAAACUCCGAAUGCCAAAGACUUAUCCAUGGGAGUCAGACUGCGAGUGAUAAGAUCCGUAGUCAAAAGGGAAACAGCCCAGACCACCAGCUAAGGUCCCCAAGUAUACGUUAAGUGGAAAAGGAUGUGGAGUUGCUUAGACAACCAGGAUGUUGGCUUAGAAGCAGCCACCAUUUAAAGAGUGCGUAAUAGCUCACUGAUCGAGUGACUCUGCGCCGAAAAUGUACCGGGGCUAAACGUAUCACCGAAGCUGUGGAUUGACAUCUUUGAUGUCAGUGGUAGGAGAGCGUUCUAAGUGCUGUGAAGUCAGACCGUAAGGACUGGUGGAGCGCUUAGAAGUGAGAAUGCCGGUAUGAGUAGCGAAAGACAAGUGAGAAUCUUGUCCACCGAAUGCCUAAGGUUUCCUGAGGAAGGCUCGUCCGCUCAGGGUUAGUCGGGACCUAAGCCGAGGCUGAAAAGCGUAGGCGAUGGCCAACAGGUUGAUAUUCCUGUACCACCUCCCCGCCGUUUGAGUAAUGGGGGGACGCAGUAGGAUAGGGUAAGCGCGCUGCUGGAUAUGCGCGUUCAAGCAGUUAGGCUGAUGAGUAGGCAAAUCCGCUCAUCAUAAAGGCUGAGCUGUGAUGACGAGGGAAUUAUAGUACCGAAGUUCCUGAUUCCACACUGCCAAGAAAAGCCUCUAGCGAGGCGGGAGGUGCCCGUACCGCAAACCGACACAGGUAGGCGAGGAGAGAAUCCUAAGGUGAUCGAGAGAACUCUCGUUAAGGAACUCGGCAAAAUGACCCCGUAACUUCGGGAGAAGGGGUGCUCUGGUAGGGUGUAUAGCCCGAGAGAGCCGCAGUGAAUAGGCCCAGGCGACUGUUUAGCAAAAACACAGGUCUCUGCGAAGCCGCAAGGCGAAGUAUAGGGGCUGACGCCUGCCCGGUGCUGGAAGGUUAAGAGGAGGGGUUAUCCUUUGGGAGAAGCUCUGAAUCGAAGCCCCAGUAAACGGCGGCCGUAACUAUAACGGUCCUAAGGUAGCGAAAUUCCUUGUCGGGUAAGUUCCGACCCGCACGAAAGGCGUAACGAUCUGGGCACUGUCUCAACGAGAGACUCGGUGAAAUUAUAGUACCUGUGAAGAUGCAGGUUACCCGCGACAGGACGGAAAGACCCCGUGGAGCUUUACUGUAGCCUGAUAUUGAAUUUUGGUACAGCUUGUACAGGAUAGGUAGGAGCCUGAGAAGCCGGAGCGCUAGCUUCGGUGGAGGCGUCGGUGGGAUACUACCCUGGCUGUAUUGAAAUUCUAACCCGCGGCCCUGAUCGGGCCGGGAGACAGUGUCAGGUGGGCAGUUUGACUGGGGCGGUCGCCUCCUAAAAUGUAACGGAGGCGCCCAAAGGUUCCCUCAGAAUGGUUGGAAAUCAUUCGUAGAGUGUAAAGGCACAAGGGAGCUUGACUGCGAGACCUACAAGUCGAGCAGGGACGAAAGUCGGGCUUAGUGAUCCGGUGGUUCCGCAUGGAAGGGCCAUCGCUCAACGGAUAAAAGCUACCCCGGGGAUAACAGGCUUAUCUCCCCCAAGAGUCCACAUCGACGGGGAGGUUUGGCACCUCGAUGUCGGCUCAUCGCAUCCUGGGGCUGUAGUCGGUCCCAAGGGUUGGGCUGUUCGCCCAUUAAAGCGGUACGCGAGCUGGGUUCAGAACGUCGUGAGACAGUUCGGUCCCUAUCCGUCGUGGGCGUAGGAAAUUUGAGAGGAGCUGUCCUUAGUACGAGAGGACCGGGAUGGACACACCGCUGGUGUACCAGUUGUCUUGCCAAAGGCAUCGCUGGGUAGCUAUGUGUGGACGGGAUAAGUGCUGAAAGCAUCUAAGCAUGAAGCCCCCCUCAAGAUGAGAUUUCCCAUAGCGCAAGCUAGUAAGAUCCCUGAAAGAUGAUCAGGUUGAUAGGUCAGAGGUGGAAGCGUGGCGACAUGUGUAGCUGACUGAUACUAAUCGAUCGAGGACUUAACCAA